AACUGUGAAUUCAUAAAGAUCUUACCAUUGUUUGUGAAAAGCUGCAUAAAACCUUAUUAGAGUUUUUAAAUAAAUUUCCCUAUUUUUCCAUCUUGUUUAUUUCUGCCAUUAUUUAGAAUUUAGAAUUUCUUUUCAAAUAGGCAUCCUUUAAUUCUUGUUUUAAAUAAAUAUGUUAGCUGGACCUUGUGUCACAGGCUAUCCAAGGAAUUUUAAAAUAAAUGCGAACACGUUACAACACAUGCUUAAUCCUGGCCCUGGGCUACAGGUUAACUGUGUGACCGUACCUGCAAUAACACAUAAUGGGUUUAGCCUAAAACAGGUACCUGCCAUUCUACAUUCCUUAUGUUAGUUUUAUUAAAACGUGUGAUUAGUAUGGGCUGGAGCAAUCGAGUGGCCGACCCAGGGUUUGAAAAUGUUUAGUUGUGUGGAAAAAAAGUGAAAUAGUUAGUAAACAUCUGUAGAAAAAUAUAAUAAUGUACUGUUUGUAGAAAAAAUAUUGUUCCCCCUAAUUUUCCUGUUCAACUGACAAAACUGCAUUCAAUUUCUCCAUUUAUAUUCUGCAACUUGUCCUGUUGCCUGUAUUAAAAUUAUGAACUUGUGAAGACAGAAACAAUAAAAGUCUUUAUAUUUAAAAUCUUUCUCUUAUAAUCUUUCAUAAUUUGUUAGCGUUCCUUCCGCAUGUGGGUUUGGAAAUGUACUAUUAUGCUUCAUGUACAGUGACGCACAGUGGCAGAACUAACACUGAGAUGGUGUUAGUGGAAGAAUUUGUUUUGGGUCCCCCUAUAGCAAGGAUGGCCAAUCUGUACAACUUGCACAAUAAUUUGCCAGCUGGGGAUCUACUAU